rnacentral:lncRNA from 1 species
UAAUGGCCAUAACCCUCUCAGAUGCCUCUGCUACUCAAGGUCUGGCUAGGUAUAUGGUGUCUUCCUGAGCCCCCUACUCAUGACUCCCCCCACCAAGGUUGGCAUUCUCACUCAGAUGUUCAAUAAAAAAGGACUGCCAAGGAGGAAUUGUGUAUUAUGUAUGUCCUUUUCCAUCAUGCCCUAUGGUAAUCCCAGAUCUCGUCAUGUCUUUUACUGUAGACCUAAGUUUUACAAAAUAUGUUCAGUGGAGAAGUAUUCUGCUAUGUGUUAAUAGGUUUUAUACUGGACAAGUUCUCCUUGAUAAGUGUAUGACAUCUACGCUUCAUCUCAUAUCAUUUUCUGUAGACUACCUCUUAAGUAUCUCUCACAUUUACCCAUUUCUCUCCAAGCCGAGUGUUCUUACCUCUGUUCAGGUCAUCAUUAUCUCAUCUAGAUUACUUGCCAUAGCUUCCUUUCUGCCUCUCUUACCCUCUCUAAUCCACUGUUCACUGUAGCGUGAGUCAUGUUUCCAGAAAUUCACCUUCUUCCAACUAUGUGUGUACUCACUCAGUUGAAGCCAACUCUUUUCUGACCCCAUGGGCUGUAGCCCACCAGGCUCCACUCCCCAUGGGAUUCUCUAGGCAAGAAUAAUGGUGUGAGUUGCUGGUUCUUUCUCUAGGGGAUCUUCCCAACCCGGGGAUCAAGACUGCAUCUCCUGAGUCUCCUGCACUGGCAGGGAUUCUUUACCAGGGGGCCACCUGCGAAGCCCAUCUCAAACUGAUCUCAAGGUCAGGUACUGUCAGCUAUCAGGCCUCUGGCUGGAGGAGUCCUUCAUAUUCCCCGAGUUGUGAUCUAGCAAUUCUUGGAAACCACAAGUUGAGCAGGCCUCCACAAACUGGGCUGUAAGCAUGUUUCUCAUAUCAAUCACAGCAACGUCAAUGCCAAGGCUCUCUCCCCUUGCUCACAAACAGAUAUUCACUUCCUGGUCUGCCAGCUCUACACUAAGCUGCAAAACACUUCCUGAGCCACUUUGGAAUUUGCAAAGGGUAACUUAUAUGCCACCACAAACCCCAGAACCUGGGGGCCAAUCCCUGAGACCACCUAUCAGUAUCAGACUCUUUUGCUGCUUUGCUACUUUACUGUUAAGUCUUGAGGGCUCAAUCCAUUUCCUUUUCCCUUUCCACUCCUUUCUUCCCCUAGGGAUCCAUUUUUUUCCCAUGGGUUCGAUUUCUCUAAGCUUGGCCACAGAGUGGAAUGCUAGGUUCCCAGCAGCAGCCCCUUUCUAAGCAGUUUUAGUUUUUUAAUUUUUAAUUUUUUAAUUUCGUUGGCAUAUAGUUGAUUUACAAUGUGCUAAUUUCAAAUGUAUAGCAAAGUAAAUUAUAUGCAUAUAUAUAUGUAUAUACAUAUAUAUAUAUACUCUUUUUCAGAUUCUUUUC